UGGGAGCUCUCCCAUAUGGUCGACCUGCAGGCGGCCGCGAAUUCACUAGUGAUUAGAGUUUGAUCAUGGCUCAGAUUGAACGCUAGCGGCAUGCUUAACACAUGCAAGUCGAACGGUAACAGGCCUAGCUUGCUAGGUGCUGACGAGUGGCGGACGGGUGAGUAACGCGUAGGAAUCUGCCUUCUAGUGGGGGAUAACUUGGGGAAACUCAAGCUAAUACCGCAUAAGCCCUAAGGGGGAAAGCAAGGGACAGUGAUGCCUUGUGCCAGAAGAUGAGCCUGCGUCGGAUUAGCUAGUUGGUAGGGUAAAAGCCUACCAAGGCGAUGAUCCGUAGCUGGUCUGAGAGGAUGACCAGCCACACUGGGACUGAGACACGGCCCAGACUCCUACGGGAGGCAGCAGUGGGGAAUAUUGGACAAUGGGCGAAAGCCUGAUCCAGCAAUGCCGCGUGUGUGAAGAAGGCCUGCGGGUUGUAAAGCACUUUCGGUAGGGAAGAAGGCCUUAGUGUUAAUAGCACUAAGGAUUGACAUUACCUACAGAAGAAGCACCGGCUAACUCUGUGCCAGCAGCCGCGGUAAUACGAAUCGAAUUCCCGCGGCCGC
rnacentral:rRNA from 1 species